CCUACGGGAGGCUGCAGUGGGGAAUAUUGGACAAUGGGGGGAACCCUGAUCCAGCCAUGCCGCGUGUGUGAAGAAGGUCCUCGGGUUGUAAAGCACUUUCAGUGAGGAAGAACGCCUGGUGGUUAAUACCCAUCAGGAAAGACAUCACUCACAGAAGAAGCACCGGCUAACUCCGUGCCAGCAGCCGCGGUAAUACGGAGGGUGCGUGCGUUAAUCGGAAUUACUGGGCGUAAAGCGCGCGUAGGUGGCUUGAUAAGCCGGUUGUGAAAGCCCCGGGCUCAACCUGGGAACGGCAUCCGGAACUGUCAAGCUAGAGUGCAGGAGAGGAAGGUAGAAUUCCCGGUGUAGCGGUGAAAUGCGUAGAGAUCGGGAGGAUUACCAGUGGCGAAGGCGGCCUUCUGGACUGACACUGACACUGAGGUGCGAAAGCGUGGGUAGCAAACAGGAUUAGAUACCCUGGUAGUC
rnacentral:rRNA from 1 species